CCAGCUCUCACCCAGUGGUGAAUAUCUCGCUGGGGCCUCCAAAUGUUGUAACCAAGCGAGUUAUGGAGAAACGCUACACUUUGAGAUUAAUUGAGGAGUCCUUUAUUAG
rnacentral:miRNA from 13 species